UUUCCUUUCUUCCCGAGUCCUCAACCUCUCGCGACCCCUCCUUCUCACGCGGCCACCACAGCCGCGACCUUGCUUCCUCCAGCUAGCACCGAGACGCCGCACCAGCGCCGGUCACACCGAGCCCCAGCUGCCGACCUUUCCUCCUCACGCAAUCCCUCCCCCUCGCACGAGCACCGCGGACCCCAGCCGCCAAUCCUCAUCUCUCCCGAGCCGUGCCCUAACGAAUCUGACAGGACUCUGAUUUAGGGCAAGCAGCACAACGUGAAUUUAUUCUGAUACGAUCGACAAGUAAAGACGGGUAAAAGAUAGAUGAGUCAUGGAUGCUUGGAGAGAUGUCGG